rnacentral:rRNA from 1 species
UACGUAGGGUGCAAGCGUUAUCCGGAAUUAUUGGGCGUAAAGAGCUCGUAGGCGGUUUGUCGCGUCUGCUGUGAAAACUGGAGGCUCAACCUCCAGCCUGCAGUGGGUACGGGCAAACUAGAGUGCGGUAGGGGAGAUUGGAAUUCCUGGUGUAGCGGUGGAAUGCGCAGAUAUCAGGAGGAACACCGGUGGCGAAGGCGGGUCUCUGGGCAGUAACUGACGCUGAGGAGCGAAAGCGUGGGGAGCGAACAGG